ACGAAAGCGAUGGAAGCUUGCUUCUAUCAAUCUUAGUGGCGAAUGGGUGAGUAACGCGUAAUCAACCUGCCCUUCAGAGGGGGACAACAGUUGGAAACGACUGCUAAUACCGCAUACGAUCUAAUCUCGGCAUCGAGGAUAGAUGAAAGGUGGCCUCUACAUGUAAGCUAUCACUGAAGGAGGGGAUUGCGUCUGAUUAGCUAGUUGGAGGGGUAACGGCCCACCAAGGCGAUGAUCAGUAGCCGGUCUGAGAGGAUGAACGGCCACAUUGGGACUGAGACACGGCCCAGAAUCCUACGGGAGGCAGCAGUGGGGAAUCUUCCGCAAUGGACGAAAGUCUGACGGAGUAACGCCGCGUGAGUGAUGACGGCCUUCGGGUUGUAAAGCUCUGUUAAUCGGGACGAAAGGCCUUCUUGCAAAUAGUGAGAAGGAUUGAUGGUACCGGAAUAGAAAGCCACGGCUAACUACGUGCCAGCAGCCGCGGUAAUACGCAGGUGGCAAGCGUUGUCCGAAAUUAUUGGGCGUAAAGCGCGCGCAGGCGGAUAGGUCAGCCUGUCUUAAAAGUUCGGGGCUUAACCCCGUGAUGGGAUGGACACUGC
rnacentral:rRNA from 1 species